UACGUAGGGUGCGAGCGUUAAUCGGAAUUACUGGGCGUAAAGCGUGCGCAGGCGGUUCGUUAAGUCAGCUGUGAAAGCCCCGGGCUCAACCUGGGAAUGGCGGUUGAAACUGGCGAACUAGAAUCUGGCAGAGGGGGGUGGAAUUCCACGUGGAGCGGUGAAAUGCGUAGAGAUCGGAAAGAACACCAACGGCGAAAGCACUCUGCUGGGCCGACACUGACACUGAGAGACGAAAGCUAGGGGAGCGAAUGGG
rnacentral:rRNA from 1 species